AAGUGGUCCUUCUUCACAGUCAUAUGUCUCAUUCUGCAAGCCAAAGACUCAAUGAGGAAGAUAACAUUUAAUGGGUUCUCAUUUACUAUAUACUAAACCAUAAUCAAGAACUAGCAUCAUAUAGCUAAAGCUAAAACCUCCUGAGCACUAGACCCCAGUUGGCCUCUGCAAAGGGCAGGCAGUGAGACAAUCUCCAUGGAUUAUGUAUAAAGCAAGCUCAUUGCAGAAGCUCAUGUGGAAGAAGAGACAGAUUUACAAGACUGAGAGAAGAAUCAGUUGCUUUUCCUUCACAACACAUCCUGGCAUUGGUUAUUGACCAUAGUGCAUUUUACCUAGGUUACUUGACAUAGAAACAGAGACAGGACCCACAUUUACAGUUAUGGUUACCAUCUCUUGCUGUGUGACAGAAUCACCUGGGGAAAUCGCAAACAUACCUCUGUCCUGGCCCACACUCGGACAAAUUAAAUCAUAAUCUUCACAAAUCUCCAUACCAAGUUACUACCAUCAGUAUAUAGUCAGUUGAGGAAAACUAUCCCAUAAGCUCUAGCUGAAGAAGGAAUAAUUGGCAGCAGCAUCUGCAAGUGAUCAGUCACACCUUUUGAAUCAGUUCACUCUUUGUGCUCAACUGAGAAUUCUGCAACUCUCCAUUAUUAGCAGGUGAAGGAGUCCAAGGAGGCCUGCAUAUGGCCAGCUGGCUUCAUUGAAUCAUCCUGUGAUGGCAACACCAGCUAGGAAAAAAGAAUCC